rnacentral:piRNA from 1 species
UUGGCUUGAUGAAGCGACACGGA